AAAUUUAAGGGCAAUCUGGCUGUGACAUCUAUCAUCCCAUUGAUCACCAGGGUUAAUUGAGCUGAUCUAGCUGGCUAGGCAGGUGUCCCCUUCCUCCCUCACCACUACAUGUGUGUCCCUCCUAAAGCUGCAUGCUCAGUCGAAGAGGACAACCUUCCCCAAUACAGGAGGACUGUUCUUUGGUCAAGGGUAUGGGAGUAGCUGCACUCCUCUGCUAGAACCUCCAAACAAGCUCUCAAAGACAGCAGAAACCAUCAUAAAGUUGAUAUACACACACUCUUGACAGCCAUGCUCCAUCUUUGGGGUUUCCAUCUGU
rnacentral:snRNA from 1 species